CGGACGGGGGAGUAAUGUCUGGGAAACUGCCCGAUGGAGGGGGAUAACUACUGGAAACGGUAGCUAAUACCGCAUAAUGUCUACGGACCAAAGCGGGGGACCUCCGGGCCUCGCGCCAUCAGAUGAACCCAUAUGGGAUUAGCUUGUAGGUAAGGUAACGGCUUACCUAGGCGACGAUCCCUAGCUGGUCUGAGAGGAUGAUCAGCCACACUGGGACUGAGACACGGCCCAG
rnacentral:rRNA from 1 species